rnacentral:rRNA from 1 species
UGUGAACGUUACCAAACUGUUGCCUCGGCGGGGUCACGCCCCGGGUGCGUCGCAGCCCCGGAACCAGGCGCCCGCCGGAGGAACCAACCAAACUCUUUCUGUAGUCCCCUCGCGGACGUAUUUCUUUACAGCUCUGAGCAAAAAUUCAAAAUGAAUCAAAACUUUCAACAACGGAUCUCUUGGUUCUGGCAUCGAUGAAGAACGCAGCGAAAUGCGAUAAGUAAUGUGAAUUGCAGAAUUCAGUGAAUCAUCGAAUCUUUGAACGCACAUUGCGCCCGCCAGUAUUCUGGCGGGCAUGCCUGUCCGAGCGUCAUUUCAACCCUCGAACCCCUCCGGGGGAUCGGCGUUGGGGAUCGGGACCCCUCACACGGGCGCCGGCCCCUAAAUACAGUGGCGGUCUCGCCGCAGCCUCUCCUGCGCAGUAGUUUGCACAACUCGCACCGGGAGCGCGGCGCGUCCACGUCCGUAAAACACCCAACUUUCUGAAAUGUUGACCUCGGAUCAGGUAGGAAUACCCGCUGAACUUAAGCAUAUCAAUAAGCGGAGGAA